rnacentral:rRNA from 1 species
UACGAAGGAGGCUAGCCUUGCUCGGAAUCACUGGGCGUAAAGCGCACGUAGGCGGCUUCUUAAGUCAGGGGUGAAAUCCUGGGGCUCAACCCCAGAACUGCCCUUGAUACUGAGGAGCUUGAGUACGGGAGAGGUGAGUUGAACUCCGAGUGUAGAGGUGAAAUUCGUAGAUAUUCGGAAGAACACCAGUGGCGAAGGCGGCUCACUGGCCCGGUACUGACGCUGAGGUGCGAAAGCGUGGGGAGCAAACAGG